UACGGGGGGAGCAAGCGUUGUUCGGAUUUACUGGGCGUAAAGGGCGGGUAGGCGGCCACCGCAAGUCAGUUGUGAAAUCUCUGGGCUUAACCCAGAAAGGUCAACUGAUACUGCGGGGCUAGAGUGCAGAAGGGGCAACUGGAAUUCUCGGUGUAGCGGUGAAAUGCGUAGAUAUCGAGAGGAACACCUGCGGCGAAGGCGGGUUGCUGGGCUGACACUGACGCUGAGGCGCGAAAGCGUGGGGAGCGAACAGG
rnacentral:rRNA from 1 species